ensembl:lncRNA
GUUCAAGCUUAUUCCCUGGGAAUGGGAAAAUCACUUUCUUGCUGGGUGUAAACAUAAUACCAUUUUGCUGCACAAGGCCAGUGAGAAAGCAGCAGAAGUAGUAAGUUCCUACAGAGAUACACAGAAGGCUGGACACAAAAUUCUGUAGGAUUGUAACAGAUUUGGUAAGUCAGGGCUUGAAACAGUGAUUAAGCACCUGGUGGGAAGGCAGGGCCAACCCAGGGGAUCUCAGGUGCAUUCAGUGCACCUGUGUGGCUGGAAGGGGUGGAGCCAAAAUCCGCUCCUUCCCAGACUUCAUUUAAGGGUUGGCAGUGGAGGCAAAGGUCUCUCUCUGGUGAUCUCUGCAUGUCUGAUUUUUUUCUGAAGCAUACUUAUUCUGGUAUGAGGAUCAGGAUGUCUCCUUUAGAAAUCCAGCCAUAUGCCGGGGCAAAUUCUGUUCUUCCUAUUCCCAGUCUAAAGCCAGUCAAAAACAUCCAUUGGAUUGUAACACCUAAAAGUUCUUCAACCCUGGCUCAGUGAGAAACAGUGACUGAAAAAUAUGGGAAGAAAUAACGGGG